GUGCCAGCCGCCGCGGUAAUACCGGCAGCUCAAGUGAUGUCCUAUAUUAUUGGGCCUAAAGCGUCCGUAGCUGGCCGACCAAGUCCGUCGGGAAAUCCAUCAGCCCAACUGAUGGGCGUCCGGCGGAAACUGCACGGCUUGGGACCGGAAGACUCGAGAGGUACGUCCGGGGUAGGAGUGAAAUCCCGUAAUCCCGCACGGACCACCGAUGGCGAAAGCACUUCGAGAAAACGGAUCCGACAGUGAGGGACGAAAGCCAGGGUCUCCAACCGGAUUAGAUACCCCAGUAGUCC
rnacentral:rRNA from 1 species